GCCGUCGUCGUCUAGUUUGGUCUAGGACACCAGCUUCUCAAGCUGGGAACUCGGGUUCGAAUCCCGAUGACGGCA
rnacentral:tRNA from 1 species